CUGGAGUCCACCUGUGGUAACUUCAAUUGAUUGGACCUUAUUUGGAAAGGCACGCACCUGUCUAUUUGAGGUCUCACAGCUGACAAUACAUAUCAGAGCAAAAACCAAACCAUGAGGUCAGAGUAACUGCCUGCAGAGCUCACAGACAGGAUUGUGUUGAGUCACAGAUCUGGGGAAGGCUACAAAAAGAUUCUGCUGCAUCAAUGGUUCCCAAGAGCACAAUGGCCUCCGUAAUUCUUCAAUGGAAGAAGUCUGGAACAACCAGGUAUCUACCCAAAAGCUGGCCGUCUGACCAAAUUGAGCAAUCGAGGGAGAAGGGCCUUGGUAACAACGGUGACCAAGAACCCGAUGGCCACUCUGCCUGAGCUCCAGAGAUUCUGUGUUGAGAUGCGAAAAAUUUCUUGAUUGGCUCAGCCAAAGCCCUGACUUGAACCAAAUCAAAAAGCUCUGGACAAACCUGAAAAUGGCUGUCCACUGAUGGUCCCCAUCCAACCUGACAGAUCUUGAGAGGAUCUGCAGAUAAAAAUGGCAGAAAAUCCCCAAAUCCAGGUGCGAAGGGCUUCUUUGCAUCAUUUCCAAGAAGACUCUAGGCUCUAAUUGCUGCCAAAGUCAGGCGAUUCAUCAUCAUUCUCCCACUGAGGUGUAAUGGAACAGGCAGGGAGGGAGGACUGGAUGUUAAGCAAUGGUAUAGAAGACGAGAGAAAGGCAAUAGGAGAGUUGCUCCCAAAGGCUGUACAACCCAAGAACCCUGUGGGGAACACCAGCUGUGAUGGAAGCUAUCAAGUUCAAGAGGGUUCAAGCUUGGUUAGAUCAGGGAACCAGCAGACUGAGCAGACCUGAGGACCCCAGGUGCCCCAGGUGAGGAAGGAGUUAAGGAAGACGAUGGCGAAGGUCUCUCUGUCGGCCUCAAAGAGAGUCUGGCAAAGAAUAAAAAUAACUCAGGAAUGGGAAGCAGGGUUCAUCACAGGCUGUUCUCAGCAUUUGGAGGAACUCUGUGUUCUGACAGUGAUGAGGGAUAUUUUAAGGCAGUGGAAGGAACACAAUGAAGAACUCCUGACCUUGACCGAUAUGAGAAAAAGUUGCACAAUUUUGGGGACCCUUGGCUGAAGGCUUAAGGCUCUGGAUAUUGUUGAGCUAAUCUAGUGCUUUUUUAAUGUGACGUGGAGGUUGGCAACAGUGCAUGUGGAUUAGUUUAGUUUGGCUGUAUGGAGCAACACUCCCUGUAGAGACUGCCAUAGCAGAUCUUUAGACACCUUUUUAUUUUUUUCCAAAAACUGUUAUUUUUGAAGGCCUAAACCAAGGAUUUAAGGCAGGUGAAUACUCAACUUAUAUUUAUCAGGUGGGUAUGCCUGCUGCAUGUAUAACAUCCCCCUGUUACUCUGUUUCUGCUUGAUACUGUAUGUAGGUGAGCAAUUCUUUCCUAACAUGCUAGCCAUAGUCAUUUGAUGUGGGCUCUGUUGCACUCAGUGGGAAAUUUUGGUCAACAAGUUCGAUUACAGCUAGACUAUGUAUAAAUUACCUUAGAGAGAGUUUAGCCACCACAUCUCAUGGUGUGACAGGGGAGGUGUAAUACUUUAUAAAGCUUUAUAUUCCAGCUCCUUGCAAAUAUCCCAUGUGUUAAUUAAAUGAGUAAAAAGUGCAGUGGCCUGUGUCCUAAAUUAAUUGCUUUCUAUUAGAUUACAUUAUUGUAGAUAGACCAAGCCAUAUUAUUAACAUUGUUGUACAGUCUCCUACAUUCAAUUUCCUUGAACAUUAUUAUUGAGAGAAAUCACUCUCUCUUUCUCAUGCUGUCUCCCUCUCUUUCUUCCUUCUCAAGAUUGUUCCAAAUUUCUGUCAUGGUGCAUUCUGCUCGGUUAAUUAAAGGGGGCUAAAGUGCAGUGGCCUGUAUCCUAUUGCCAUCAAAAUCCAUAACUUAGAGAGAAAACAUUUACAUUAACUUGCCAUUAAUACCGCCUAUGCCGACUUUUCAAUUCCCGCUAAGUACGAUCUUACACAAUAAUUGCUGUUGCCUGUAAGACAAAAAGGCGAGGAGGUCCAUGAGGGGGACAAGAAAAAAAAUUGAUGCUACUGUUAAUUAAAUGAAUAAAAGUGCACCAGGCUGUGUCUUGGAAAACAGCUUUGAGUAAUAAAAAUAUAGCCAACAAUCUCUCCCUCUCCUUC